UUUCUGUUAGACACCUGUUACAAUCUGCACUGCACUUGUCAGCACCUCCUACUGCAUGUCCAGCAGUGGUAUGUUUCUGUUUUCCUAGUUUCCUGUUAUAUUUUCUUGGUCUAAAGGGUCAAGGGCCUGCUAACAGACUCUUUACACGACACACAAUUGAAAAUAUUUAUUAAUGCAACAUGUUUAUUUUUACAGAUCUGGGAGAUUAGGUUUUACUGCUUUAAGGAUACCUGUGUUCCAAAGAUUUGCUCCAGUUUUCUGAAUGUGUUUUUCAGUAAAUAGCCAUUUGGAAGUGGGAACCAACUUUCUCUGGAAAUGAUAAAGAAAGGACUGGUCAAGCCCUUCAGUCCACUUGAAAACACUUUAGGAUUUCUGAAACUGCUGUCAGCGGCCUGGUGGAUGGCUCAUUUGACAUGUCUGUCAUGUUGUGAAGUGUGUGUAGGAGCUGGAUUAAAUGAAGAGAAGGUUGGCUCGUCUGACUGCCUACUGAGGAGCUUCAGGUCGGGAAAGCUUUCUCUACAUUAGGACUGCAGUAAUUGGAAGAGAAGAAAAGUAGAAGGCAAGGACAGCUUUGUGGUGAGGUAGGGAGAGGGAGGCAGCAGAGGCUGGAUGGAGGUGGCUGAAGUACAUAUGCUAUUGGAGUAUAGGAAUAUUAGUUCUUCUCAGUGCCAUAUUGGACUUAGAGAAAUUUUAAAGAAAUAAUUUACUGUCAGCUUUUUCAGCCUUAGACUUUUGGCACACAAAGUCCUCCUAAUGCUCGAAGGCAUUAGCUCUUCCUUCUUUUGGAAAGUUGAAGGGAGAAAACAGAAGUAGAGGAAUGAUGUGGAAGUAUCUGUCUGCCUUUGGAUAAAAAGAGUGAGACAUCUUUCCCUCCCCUCCUGAACCUGAGUCUUUUGUGGAGCUCACACUAAGUUAUAGAAAACUCAACUGAAUAAUUCUGCACUCUGUGGAUGUCAGCUGCUUUUUACAAUAGAUUUAUAAUGUUCCCAAAUACAGGUAAGCAGUGAAAAUUUCUGAUCCAUUUUUAAGUAAAAUGAGAGAGUUGCCCUUAAAAUUGCAUUAAUGAAAAGUCAUCCCUUUAAAAUAGAGGAGAGAGUUAUUUUUAUGCAAGUGCAGAUUUUUGAUGCCAAAACAAUAAAGAAAACCGCAGUUUGUUCCAUUAAGCUUGUAUCAUAUUGUCAGCACUUGCCCAUAUGGAAAACAUAUAAAUUGUCAUGAAAACAUGAAAAUGGGACAAUUCAGUAAUGUUUUGAGUAGGCUUUAUAAAUAUCAUAUGUAUUUUUAAAUACAUAAGUGAUGCAGUUUUGAACACAAAAGAGCCACAGUUGUGGCAGCCAGAUUUUGCUGUGUUCCCAGAGCAGCAAAAUUAGCAGAGCUGCAAAUGUAGUUAUUUAAAAGUUGAAAAUUUGGAAUAAGUCAGAAGAAGUAUUUGGAGAUUUGGUGGGAAACUAAUAAAAGCUAAAAGUGGCACAAAUACACAUUCUUUUUUCCCACCAGAGGUCAGAACUUGUGUGUGUGCUUUUAGAUUUAACUGAGCUUUUUUUUCUUUUGUAGGAAGACUCAAUCAUUAAGCUUGACAACUUGGUGCUGGGGCACAUUUUCACCUCAUGGAUGGCUGACGUUGUGAUAUUGGGCAAAGGGUAGAAAUGUGAACAGCUCUGUGACCUUUCACCACAUUAUGAGCUUGUGUGGGUCUGGAAAGUACUAAGGCUGGGUCUAUAGGUUUAUUCUUACCCUGCUGUUAAACAUACCAGUUGUACAGAAUGUCAGAGCUCAAUAGGUAUGAAUGGAAAAAUGAGGCUAUGCAUUAGCUGAGAAUCUGGCUCAUUAUGCAGAGAGGAGGAAUCUAAAACUUCUUGGUGUUUUUUUUUCCCCUUACCUUAUGCCACUACAUGUGUUGAAUUUGUGAUGGCCUCAGUUUCAGAAAAAAAUAAUUUCAAGCACUGUUGAAUAUUAUUGUGUGUAUAUUUCAGUAAUUGGUGCAGGCCGGAGACUAGGAGGUGUUUGGCAAGCAGCAGUGUUAUUUUGGGAUCCACUGUGCCCAGGAUUCCUUCACAUGCUAAUCAUUCAGCAGCUUUCUGCCAAAAUCCUUUCUGACUUGAUUCCCUGUUUGUAGAGUCAAUAACAUUCCUUUCUUUCCCACCUUGUAUAAGCCCUUCCUUAUGGAGUUUAAAGUCUCCAGAGCACAUCACACAUGCCUAGCUAAGGUCUUGUAGUACUACUUCAGUGCACCUCCUAAUGUAUUAAAUUGUCAUUCAAUGGUGCUCUGGGUCUUGAAAACAAUGUCACCUGAUUGUACUGGCUUAGCCUGUGAGUCUCCUGAGGCACCAUCUGAAUGAGAAUAGCUCACAUCUCUUCUCCGCAAAGGCCAGCUGGUGUGCAAACCCCACCUUUUUGUCUCUCCCUGCAGAUUUGUGACCUACCAAAUGGGGCUAUUCCAUCACUGGGAAGCUGUGCUUCCAACUGUGGAUUUUUUACUGUUUUUUACCCUGGUGCUAUGAGAAUCUGCUUCUAAAGCUUAAGAAAUCUACACUCAGAAUGCCAGUGCUUUGAAAGUAUAUUGUAGAGGGAUUCUGUAUUGGAGCCUCCUGAGAGGGAGGAAAGAGAACAUGCAAUUAAAAAAUAGUAAUUCUUGUUGUUAGUGACAUGGCAAUAACAACAAUGUCUGUCUUUUAAAAAAAUUCCAAAGAGGUCCUACUGAUUCAUAUUUGUAUAGAAGCUGAUAUUGGAAUGUGUAUUUCAUAGCUAGUGGCCAAGGGAUAAGAUAAAAUUCUGGUACUGUAUUUAUAUUGUGUUUUGCAGACAUAUCUAAUCUUCAGUGGCAUGAGAAAUGUUGUAGAAAAGUAUGUCAUCAAAAAUUGCUUCAGCAUCAUACUUAAAAAUCUGUCCUCUGGAAAACAGAUCGUCUUAUCUCCUUUGUGGCAUCAAAAGCAUGUAUUCAGAGACGAUUGAGACAGAAGUGUCUGCUUUAUUUAAUAAGCACAUGAAGGGCCUGAUUCUGUUUACACUGAAGUCAGUGGAGAUUUCUGUCCUUGCUGGGAGCAGAAACAACUGUCUGAAUUCUACUUACAGCAUUUCAUUAGUGUUCUUUAUGGUAUGCACGUGGCGAAUGGAGACUGGCCUCUCAAAUCAUGAAAAUAUUAUUAUAAUUGAAAAGAUAUUAGUGCUGUAACUUUGUUGGCAAUUAACAAACCUGUCAGUUCUGUUCUGUCAAAGUGUGUGCGUGACUACUCAGUGUUACGGUAUCUGAGUUCUGGCAGCAAAAAGAAUUUCUUGCACAUGCAUAUACAUUUUAACAUGCAUAUGCAUUCUCUUUGUCUUCCAAGUAAUUUUUCAGAAUUUCCAAAAAUUACCGUCUUGUUGGCGAAGUGAUAGUGCAGGGCAUUAAUGAUUGUCACUUUUCUCCUGUUUCUCAGUUGUCUUGAGUGUGGAUUAGGAGGUUUUGCUUUGUUGUAGAGUUAUUUGGAAGAAGAUGAUGUUUAUGUUUCCUGCAAUUGUCCAAAUUCACCAUGUAAUACUGAUUUUUCAGCCAAUGGUAUGCUAAAAUUUUUAAAAAGUGGGUUUUUUUUAUGUUUUGAAGAAUUUCAGAAAAAAGUAAAAUUUUAGAGUAUCUGUGAAUCAGGUCUUUGGCAAUGCAGUGGACAAUAAGCUUCUGCAUCUGGCUUGAGAGGAAAAAUAAGUUAUGAGUAAUUUCAUAACAUUUUCUUUCAUCCAACAGCUUCUUUUGACUUUAUGGUAGCAGUAAUAGGCUAAAAUAGCUGUCUUUUUGUGGGGUCUUUAUUAUGGAAUAUUGUUUUCCCUUCUGACCAUAUUAUUGCAUAUUUUUAGUUCCCUCUAGGGAGGAAAGUUUCUGAGACACUUUGGUUGACACCAAUUGUUUGUCCUUCUGCAUCUCCCAAGGGGGUUGAAAACCAGCUAUUAGUGACAGUCUGAGAUCUUUUUUAUGCUUCCAGAAUAACUGCUUUACUAUAAAAGCAGAAGUUAAAUAGACAGUAUAACUCUCAAGCCAGUAUUCCUAGGCACCUGUGAGAUCAAACCAGUUGAGAGUCACUUUUUCAGAAAGGUUUUAGAAGCUCAGCUCACAUAAGCAUCUAAUUAUGAGGAUAUUUUUCUCAAUUUUGUCAGUUUCCUGAAAGUGUAAAUUUAAAACUCAAUCACAUUAGUAGGCUUGUGAAUCCACCCUUGUUGUAUUUAGAAUUUUUUUUUUUUUCACCAGAAUCAGGCAGGAUAAGAAACUGUAAAAUUCUCCUAUAAAAUAGUUGAAAUUUUAAUAAAAUGCAUAAAUCUUA